rnacentral:rRNA from 1 species
GCAGUGGGGAAUUUUCCGCAAUGGGCGAAAGCCUGACGGAGCGACGCUGCGUGAAGGAUGACGGCCUGCGGGUUGUAAACUUCUUUUCUCGAAGAAGAAUCAAUGACGGUAUUCGAGGAAUAAGCAUCGGCUAACUCUGUGCCAGCAGCCGCGGUAAGACAGAGGAUGCAAGUGUUAUUCGGAUUGAUUGGGCGUAAAGCGUCUGUAGGCGGUUUAGAAAGUCUCUUGUGAAAUUCUUCAGCUCAACUGAGGGUCCGCAAAAGAAACUUCUAGGCUUGAGGGAAGUAGAGGUAUAGGGAAUUUCCGGUGGAGCGGUGAAAUGCGUAGAUAUCGGAAGGAACACCAAUAUGGCGAAGGCACUGUACUGGGCUUUUCCUGACGCUAAGAGACGAAAGCUAAAGGAGUGAUUAGGAUUAGAUACCCUAGUAAUUUUAGCCGUAAACGAUGGAAACUCACUGCCGAGCCGGUAUUCGGAGCGGUGGUCAAGCUAACGCGUGAAGUUUCCCGCCUGGGGAUUACGCAUGCAAAUGUGAAACUCAAAGGAAUUGACGGA